CGACAGGCCUAACACAUGCAAGUCAGGGGCAGCACAAGGAGCAAUCUGAGGUGGCGACCGGCGCACGGGUGAGUAACACGUAUGCAACCUGCCUGUAAGCGGGGAAUAACCCGUUGAAAGACGGACUAAUACCGCAUAAUACUAAAUUACUGCAUGGUAAUUUAUUUAAACAUUUAUGGCUUACAGAUGGGCAUGCGCAUGAUUAGCUAGUUGGAGAGGUAACGGCUCCCCAAGGCAACGAUCAUUAGGGGUUCUGAGAGGAAGGUCCCCCCACACUGGUACUGAGACACGGACCAGACUCCUACGGGAGGCAGCAGUGAGGAAUAUUGGUCAAUGGACGAGAGUCUGAACCAGCCAAGUCGCGUGCAGGAAGAAUUGUCCUAUGGAUUGUAAACUGCUUUUGCAGGGGAAUAAAGUGCAUCACGUGUGAUGUUUUGUAUGUACUCUGCGAAUAAGGAUCGGCUAACUCCGUGCCAGCCGCUGC
rnacentral:rRNA from 1 species